GGAGUUAUAGCUCAGUGGCAUAAGCACCUGCCUGGCAAGCAUGAGGUCAUGGGUUUGAUCCCUACUACCA
rnacentral:tRNA from 1 species